AGAUAGAUGCUUAACACAUGCAAGUCGAACAAUUUGGGGCUAUUGGAAGCUCCUAGCUUUGCAGCUUGUCUCUCUCUUUUGAUAGGAGACUUUGAUAAUGAAGUGGCGAACGGGUGCGUAAGGCGUGGGAAAUUCUGCCGGAGAGAAAGCUAACGAAGAGCACUCCUUGAUGAGCCCGCGUAGUAUUAGGUAGUUGGUUAGGUUACGGCUGACCAAGCCGAUGAUGCUUAGUUGAUCUUUUCGGAUGAUCAGCCACACCGGGACUGAGACAAGGCCCGGACCCAGGAUUGGGGCAGCAGUGGGGAAUCUUGGACAAUAGGCGCCAGCCCGAUCCAGCAAUCUUGCGUGAUUUAGACUCGUAAGGAGCCCGCCGGAGUGCGGGGAUCUAGGGCACUUUCGCUUGUAAAAGCUCUUUCAACGAGUAUGCGAUGAUGACAUGACUCGUGUAAGAAGCUCCGGCUAACUUCGUGCCAGCAGCCGCGGUAAGACGAAGGGGGCAAGUCUUUCUCGGAAUGACUGGGCGUAAAGAGCAUGUAGGCGGUCAGUCAAAUUGGAGCGGAAAAGCGCCAUACAGAUGGUGAGGUGUUCCCAAUAAGACUGACUUGGGUCAGAUAAGGGAGAGUGGAAUUUCGUAGGGAGUUGGAAGAACACCUAAAUCUAUGUAAGGCAGUCCUAAGGCGAAGGCAGCUCUCUAGGUCUAUACCGACGCUAAAUGUGCGAAAGCGUGGGUAGCAAACAGGAUUAGAGACCCUGGUAGUCCACGCUGUCAACGAUGAGUGUUAGCUGUUUGGUCGUGUGAUCAGGAGCACAGCUAACGCGUGAAACACUCCGCCUGGGGAGUACAGUCGCAAGGCUGAAACUCAAAGGAAUUGACGGGGGCCCGCAUAAGCGGUGGAGCAUGUGGUUUAAUUCGAUACAACGCGAAAGGAUCUUACCAGCCUUUGAAUAUGAGAUCGUAGGCAAGGAGACGGGGGAGUUUGAAUAAGGGCCAAUUAUGAUAAGAAGACGCUUCUACCCUAAUCGCUCCCUCCAAUUAUGAAAAGAAUGAGAUCCCAUACCUUUUUUCCUCGCGACUAGCCAGGAGGAUGAAGCUUAGUACGCUUUCGUACAGGUGUUGCAUGGCUGUCGUCAGUCCGUGUCGUGGGAUGUCGGGUCAAUUCCUAUAACGGGCGAAACCCUUUUUUUGUGUUGCAGAACACGUGUAUCCUAGGCUUCGGGAUUCUAAGUGGUAAUACAGAGGAGUAUACCAUAACCAGCCCAUGAAUUAGAGAGGGUGCGCGUCGCACUCACAAGAGACAGACGCUUAUAUGGUGUAGGAAGGUGGGGAUGACGUCAAGUCCGCAUGGUCCUUAAAGGCUGGGCCACACACGUGCUACAAUGACAAUUACAAUGGGAUGUGAAAACUGCACCCUCAAAGAUUGUCGCAGUUCGGAUUCCUCUCUGUAAUUCGGGAGGAUGAAGCAGGAAUCGCUAGUAAUCGCGGAUUAGGAUGCCGCGGUGAACUGAGAACCGGGUUUUGUACACACCGCCCGUCACACCCUGGGAAUUGGUUUCGCCCUAAGCAUCAACGCGGAGGUUGCCCAUGACUUGCUUCUGGUUUCUUUGCCAUGGAGUGUUCCUUGGCAGUCUUUGUUGGAUACCACGGUGGGGUCUCUGACUGGGGUGAAGUCGUAACAAGGUAGCCGUAGGGGA
rnacentral:rRNA from 1 species